GGGUUGUGAGGUUAAGCGACUAAGCGUACACGGUGGAUGCCCUGGCAGUCAGAGGCGAUGAAGGGCGUGCUAAUCUGCGAUAAGCGCCGGUAAGGUGAUAUGAACCGUUAUAACCGGCGAUACCCGAAUGGGGAAACCCAGUGUGACUCGUCACACUAUCAUUAACUGAAUCCAUAGGUUAAUGAGGCGAACCGGGGGAACUGAAACAUCUAAGUACCCCGAGGAAAAGAAAUCAACCGAGAUUCCCCCAGUAGCGGCGAGCGAACGGGGAGGAGCCCAGAGCCUGAAUCAGCAUGUGUGUUAGUGGAAGCGUCUGGAAAGGCGCGCGAUACAGGGUGAUAGC
rnacentral:rRNA from 1 species